rnacentral:rRNA from 1 species
UGGGGAAUAUUGCACAAUGGGCGAAAGCCUGAUGCAGCGACGCCGCGUGAGGGAUGACGGCCUUCGGGUUGUAAACCUCUUUCAGCAGGGAAGAAGCGAAAGUGACGGUACCUGCAGAAGAAGCGCCGGCUAACUACGUGCCAGCAGCCGCGGUAAUACGUAGGGCGCAAGCGUUGUCCGGAAUUAUUGGGCGUAAAGAGCUCGUAGGCGGUUAGUCGCGUCUGCUGUGAAAACUCGAGGCUCAACCUCGGGCUUGCAGUGGGUACGGGCUGACUAGAGUGCGGUAGGGGUGACUGGAAUUCCUGGUGUAGCGGUGGAAUGCGCAGAUAUCAGGAGGAACACCGAUGGCGAAGGCAGGUCACUGGGCCGCAACUGACGCUGAGGAGCGAAAGCAUGGGGAGCGAACAGGAUUAGAUACCCUGGUAGUCCAUGCCGUAAACGUUGGGCACUAGGUGUGGGGUCCAUUCCACGGAUUCCGUGCCGCAGCAAACGCAUUAAGUGCCCCGCCUGGGGAGUACGGCCGCAA